rnacentral:rRNA from 1 species
GACGAACGCUGGCGGCGUGCUUAACACAUGCAAGUCGAACGCUGAAGCUCAGCUUUUGUUGGGUGGAUGAGUGGCGAACGGGUGAGUAACACGUGAGUAACCUGCCCCCUUCUUUGGGAUAACGCCCGGAAACGGGUGCUAAUACUGGAUAUUCACUGGUCUUCGCAUGGGGGUUGGUGGAAAGGGUUUUUCUGGUGGGGGAUGGGCUCGCGGCCUAUCAGCUUGUUGGUGGGGUGAUGGCCUACCAAGGCUUUGACGGGUAGCCGGCCUGAGAGGGUGACCGGUCACAUUGGAGCUUAGAUACGGCCCAGACUGCUACGGGAGGCAGCAGUGGGGAAUAUUGAACAAUGGGCGCAAGCCUGAUGCAGCGGCGCCGCGUGAGGGAUGGAGGCCUUCGAGUUGUGAACCUCUUUCGCUCAUGGUCAAGCCGCAACAAUGGUUGUGGUGAGGGUAGUGGGUAAAGAAGCGCCGGCUAACUACGUG